UAUUGCACGUUGGUGCACGUCGUUUCAGAGGUUCAGACACCUCGUCGCGAAAGAGGUUAACACGGCGAAACUUUGGCCGAUUCGAUUGGGUCGGAUUACUCGUUAAGAAACGAAAGCACAGAGGAGGGCUGACGCCCCUUGACGGGAUUAGUCGACGCGAAAAUCUUAACUGCGUGAUAAAUCUUUCAAUCCCGAGCGGAUCGUCGCUAAUAAAUUCUAAUCACGUAUUCGUACGCAGGUAAAUCUCGACGAACGCGUUAUUCGAGGCGAGAUGGCGCAACGCUCAGACGUGGGCCACGUGACCAAAAGUCUCUUUGCGCAUGCGUGCCAACUACAAAUCGCUUUACGAGCGACUGUUAACAGUCGUUCGCUGAGACAUUGACCGGAGACGAUGUUUCGUUAUUGUUUGUUACGUCACGGCACAUGCUGAUCAGACUCAUUCGAGACUAGAGAGGAAUCGCUCGUUAAUUUUCUCACUGUCAUCACGCAAGUAAAUGAUACAGACUGUGUGCCAUUUUUCUAGAUAAAUUACCAAUACAUGAAUUGGGAGAAAUGCUGUCCUCUGACAGCAAUAAUUUUGUCUUCGUAAAAUUUAUUACUGCCAUGGUUAUGGUGAGUUAUGCUGAGCGCGUUCGCAACACUCGAGGAUAUCCCUCGUAUCUGCAAGUGACCGUUGAGAGUUUUGGAUAGUUGUCAUUUUUAUCUUUUCCAAUUUCCACGGCACCGUUUGUGCCACAUUCACCAUCUUCGAAAUAAAAUAUGACCAGCCAACAACGUGGUUCAUCGUGGCCCGUCAACAAAAUUGUCGACUCGUCAGAUUUCAACUAACUGAAUCAAACCAAUAGCAAUAGCGAACCUCAGAGAAAAAGCGCAAAAAAAAAAAAAAGCGAACGAAAUGAUAUUGGAUAAUGAUCAGCGUACUGUCGAAGCGUUGUUGACGUGAUAUGUGCACAUGAAUGCGAAAAUAAUUGUAUAUAUGUCUGUAUGUACAAAUGUUUUAGGUAAAUAUAUUAAAUGCAAAUACGGUGACAGUGAACACGUAUAUAUGCGUAUAUUUUAGAAAUAUUACAUCACGUACAAAUAGGAAGCGCUAAUAAAAUGAAAUGAAAAUUGUAAUAAAAAUUAUAACACGGUCUACAAAGACUUGAACAAAAAUAAUGCAAAUACUUCAUAUCGCGUUGUUGCACCUUGAACUCGCUCUUAUGUUUUGUCUUGAAUCCAAAGACAAUUUAAAUAUUUUGUGCAGUCGAAUCUACUCAAUGAUUAUUAUUCUUAUCAAAAGGUAAAGGAAUUUGCGAUUGUAAAAUCUUAAUUAUAAGAACAUCAUCACACGAAGAAUAGCAUAAUAUCUCGUUAAGCAUCAAUCAAAAUUUGUACGAAAAGAAUUCAAGACCAAUGACGCGCCUACGCGACCACUAACAACGAAUGUUGCAAAUAAACACGUCGCUGGCUGGGAUGAAACGAUUUUCCACGAGCUUCCCCUUGCAACGACGUGAACCCUCUUUCUCGCUUCACCCUGCGGCAGCAACAGUCUGUCUCGUGGGAUUGGAUUCUCCACGGCGCGAGACGACGCGUCGAUGAAGAAGCAGACUGGUCGAAGGAAAAGAAAACGAGAGAGAAAGAGAAAGAGAAAGAGAGAGAGAGAGACAGAGACAGAGUAGCUCAACACGAGCAAACGGGGCGAACUUGGUGACGAACGUGUAAUUGCCAGACGAGAUUAUUCGCGAGGAAGACAGAGAAUUAGAUGGAGGGGAAGGAGGAGGAGCCAAGAGGGUUUGUCCUUUACCUGUUAGUUACUGAAUGUCACCAUGGUGUGUCGGUUUUCUCACGUGUAUCACCUUUUUGAACUGUACGCACUAUAAUGGCUUACUUGUUUCUCGAGCCGAAGCCAGCUUGUACACACCGUUAUGUUUUUUAGGCGGAAAAAAUUUGAAUUUAUUAUUUGUUCUCUUAGCUUCGAAACUUACAGUGGCUCACUAUUUCUCAGUCGAAGACAGCUGUGAUAUAACACCCGUGGUUUUUUUCGAAUUCCUUAUAAUCUCUUCAA